GACGAACGCUGGCGGCGUGCCUAACACAUGCAAGUCGAACGGGGCAGCAAUGCCCAGUGGCGAACGGGUGCGUAACACGUGAGGAACUUGUCCAUCGGCGGGGGAUAGCCGGCCCAACGGCCGGGUAAUACCGCGUACGUCGGCGAGACCGCAUGGUCUUGCCGGGAAAGCAGCAAUGCACCGAUGGAGAGCCUCGCGGCCUAUCAGCUAGUUGGUGAGGUAAUGGCUCACCAAGGCGACGACGGGUAGCUGGUCUGAGAGGGUGAUCGGCCACACUGGAACUGAGACACGGUCCAGACUCCUACGGGAGGCAGCAGUGGGGAAUUUUGCGCAAUGGACGAAAGUCUGACGCAGCAACGCCGCGUGGGUGAUGA
rnacentral:rRNA from 1 species